UACGUAGGGGGCAAGCGUUGUCCGGAAUUAUUGGGCGUAAAGAGCGCGUAGGCGGUCUGAUAAGUCGGUUGUGAAAGUCGGGGGCUCAACCCUCGGAUGCCGAUCGAUACUGUCAGGCUAGAGUCCGGAAGAGGCAAGCGGAAUUCCGGGUGUAGCGGUGGAAUGCGUAGAGAUCCGGAAGAACACCGGAGGCGAAGGCGGCUUGCUGGGCGUGAUCUGACGCUGAGGCGCGAAAGCGUGGGGAGCGAACAGG
rnacentral:rRNA from 1 species